GACGAACGCUGGCGGCGUGCCUAAUACAUGCAAGUAGAACGCUGAAGCUUGGUGCUUGCACCGAGCGGAUGAGUUGCGAACGGGUGAGUAACGCGUAGGUAACCUGCCUGGUAGCGGGGGGUAACUAUUGGAAACGAUAGCUAAUACCGCCUAAGAGUAGAUGUUGCAUGACAUUUGCUUACAAGGUGCAAUUGCAUCACUACCAGAUGGACCUGCGUUGUAUUAGCUAGUUGGUGAGGUAACGGCUCACCAAGGCAACGAUACAUAGCCGACCUGAGAGGGUGAUCGGCCACACUGGGACUGAGACACGGUCCAGACUCCUACGGGAGGCAGCAGUAGGGAAUCUUCGGCAAUGGACGGAAGUCUGACCGAGCAACGCCGCGUGAGUGAAGAAGGUUUUCGGAUCGUAAAGCUCUGUUGUAAGGGAAGAACGAGUGUGAGAGUGGAAAGUUCAGACUGUGACGGUAUCUUACCAGAAAGGGACGGCUAACUACGU
rnacentral:rRNA from 1 species